AACGAACGCUGGCGGCAGGCCUAACACAUGCAAGUCGAGCGCCCUCUUCGGAGGGAGCGGCGGACGGGUUAGUAACGCGUGGGAAUAUACCCAGAUCUAAGGAAUAGCCACUGGAAACGGUGAGUAAUACCUUAUACGCCCUUCGGGGGAAAGAUUUAUCGGAUUUGGAUUAGCCCGCGUUAGAUUAGUUAGUUGGUGGGGAAACGGCCUACCAAGACGACGAUCUAUAGCUGGUUUGAGAGGAUGAUCAGCAACACUGGGACUGAGACACGGCCCAGACUCCUACGGGAGGCAGCAGUGGGGAAUCUUAGACAAUGGGGGCAACCCUGAUCUAGCCAUGCCGCGUGAGUGAUGAAGGCCUUAGGGUCGUAAAGCUCUUUCGCCAGGGAUGAUAAUGACAGUACCUGGUAAAGAAACCCCGGCUAACUCCGUGCCAGCAGCCGCGGUAAUACGGAGGGGGUUAGCGUUGUUCGGAAUUACUGGGCGUAAAGCGCGCGUAGGCGGAUUAUUAAGUCAGAGGUGAAAUCCCAGGGCUCAACCCUGGAGCUGCCUUUGAUACUGGUAGUCUUGAGUUCGAGAGAGGUGAGUGGAAUUCCAAGUGUAGAGGUGAAAUUCGUAGAUAUUUGGAGGAACACCAGUGGCGAAGGCGGCUCACUGGCUCGAUACUGACGCUGAGGUGCGAAAGUGUGGGAGCAAACAGGAUUAGAUACCCUGGUAGUCCACACCGUAAACGAUGGAUGCCAGUCGUCGGGUAGUAUACUAUUCGGUGACACACCUAACGGAUUAAGCAUUCCGCCUGGGGAGUACGGUCGCAAGAUUAAAACUCAAAGGAAUUGACGG
rnacentral:rRNA from 1 species